AUGUUCUGGAGGAACACCAAGCGGAGGCUGGGCAGCCAUCCGGGGGAGACGGCGGCCUGCCUGCUCACCGAUGACCUCAUCCUGGAGAUCCUUUGCCGUCUCCCUGCGAGAUCCGUUCAUCGCUUCAAGUGUGUCUCUGUACUCUGGCGUGACCUCAUCGCCGACCCCGCCAACCGCAAGAAGUUGCCCCAGGCCCUCGCUGGCUUCCUCUACACGACCAUCAGCAACAACAGGCGACACCACCACUUUGCCAGCGUCUCCGAUGCAGCAAUCCCGUUUGACCCUCCCCUCCCUUACCUGCAGCCAAACAAGUACAAUGGCAUCACCCAGGUGGAUGCCUGCAAUGGCCUCCUUCUCUACCGCCGCUACAACAGCAAGGAUGAUUCCCAUUUGGUCGUGUGCAAUCCCACCACCAGGAGGUGGUUUGAGCUGCCCCCUCAACCGCUGGAGCUGGCAAACAGACGUACCCGUACCACCGGUCUGGCUUUCGACCCGGCGGUCUCGUCCCAUUUCCAUGUUCUUCAUUUCGAGCAUUCCUAUCUGGAAAUUUACAUCACUCGAGUGAACAUCUACUCCUCCUGGACAGGAGCCUGGAGCCAUAGGAAUUGUGGGACAGCCGACAAAUAUACGUUAUUUUUCGGUGGUAGAUGCGUCUUUGUUGGCGGCUUGCUCUACGUGAUGGGCAACCAUAAUUACAUCAUCGACGAUUAUGUGUUGCUGGGGGUAGACAUGGAGGGCAAAGUGUGUAAGACCAUCAGUGUGCCGUACGGCCGAGGAUUUGGUAUGAUUGGAUCAUCUCAGGUGUGCUUACACUAUGCUAUACCUUCCUUCGAUGAUAACAAGCAAAUCUCUAGGAUAGAACUCUGGUGCCUCCAGGAUUGUGAUAGUAAAGAGUUGGUCCUAAAGCAUACUGCCAGAUUCAAUGAGCUUAUGAGCUUGACUGCGAAGAAGCACAUGAUUGUUGGGAUUCAUCCAGAUUGUGACACCAUUUUCCUGCUUUCACGUGGACAUGGUACCUUGGUAGCGUACGAUAUGCAACAUAAGCAAGUUGGAUGUAUCUUUAAGCUUGAGAAAAACAGUACACAACGAUAUCUAGCCUAUGUUCCUCUGUUCACAGAGUCAUUAGCAGAUGCAGGCGGGCAGUAG
rnacentral:rRNA from 1 species